rnacentral:rRNA from 1 species
CGGCGGACGGGUGGAGUAAUGCCUAGGAAUCUGCCUGGUAGUGGGGGACGAACGUUUCGAAAGGAACGCUAAUACCGCAUACGUCCUACGGGAGAAAGCAGGGGACCUUCGGGCCUUGCGCUAUCAGAUGAGCCUAGGUCGGAUUAGCUAGUUGGUGAGGUAAUGGCUCACCAAGGCGACGAUCCGUAACUGGUCUGAGAGGAUGAUCAGUCACACUGGAACUGAGACACGGUCCAGACUCCUACGGGAGGCAGCAGAA